UUCCACGCGUAUAAAUAAAAAAUAUAAACAUUAAUAUAUUAAUUAACACAUUUUUCGACUUCGAUUCAAUGGUAUUUUUAGUUCACCCAACGACUUCCCUGGAAUUGUUCCGCAAAUAAAGAUGAAAACAAAUUCUUUGUUCUGCUGUGUUAGACGUAACAUCACCCAAACUCUUCCCAACCAUUGCAAAUCAUAUUUCUGUUAAAAUAGUCGGCUUGGCCAAAGUCAAGCUACCGCCGAAGUAGUUUGUUGGUUUGUCAUGGCUGUUUAUUCGUUGAAACAAGUUUCUGCGUUUCGAGCAUUUCAUUUAAGUUCGAACUGUCAAUUAGUUUAAAUCGAUUGUGUGUCCGUUGAUGUUAGUUGUUCGCCCUUAGUUUUUGGUUAAAGAAAAAUAGAAACUAGAGACAUAAUGAAAUUUCUAACGAUUUUCGUCGUAAUUUGUGCAAUGCUGGUCGCUACCUUUGCCCAGCAAGAUAAUACGGCCGACGAAGAUGCCCUAGCCCGGUCGAAAAGGCAAUUUGGACGUUUUGGCCAAUACAGUGGCGCCACAAAUAAUUUCGAUAUUUUCUCAAGAUUUGGCGGUGCCAGCGAUGAUCAGCAGCAGCCCUAUGUUCGUCGUCGAUCAUAUUCUGGAAUAUAAGAUGAUGAGGAAGAAGGAGGAGGCAGAAAUGUGAAAUUAUUUUUUUUUAUGUGAUUUGUAAAUGAAAUGUGUAUAAAUUAUUUAUAGUUAAAGGAAUAAAAUAUAAUAUAUUUUAAAUUAAAAAGUGA